GCUCCCAUAGCUCAGUUUGGUUAGAGCGUACGACUAAUAAUCGUAAGGUCGACGGUUCAAGCCCGUCUGGGAGCA